GUAGAAUCUGCACAUCAGUUGCAUGAAAAGCUCCCCCAGGUUAAUGGUAAGAAACAAAAAAAUAAACUCAACCUCUCUCAACCAUCCAAAAAUGAUUUGGAAAAGGACGGACAGUAGUGAGGACAUCUCAGAAAGAGACCCAGAAAAAGACUACAAACAGAGGAGGGAUCAUUAAAAAGCACGAAAGGAGCAAAGCUGCUACCUACAUGUGGAUAAAGAGUCUCCCAAGUCAGACUCUACUACAUGUGACAAAUUAGCACCCCUCUCCUCCCCCUGCCUCGACAGCAACUGUGUGAAUCCUGCAAGUGCCUCAUCUUUAGCCCUCACAGCGGGGCGAUAGGCCGCACACUGGGCCAGCAGCUUCUAGGUACUGCAAGCCACGUGGUCUCUGUCACAACUACUCAACUCCGGUAUUAUAAUGCAAAGCGGCCACAGACAAUACAUGAAGGGCCAGAGGAGAAGAACCGCGAAGGCAAGGCGGGAGGCAACGAGGAGGAGAAGAAUCGGCAGCGGACGUUCGCCGAGGAAGGUUUAAGCUUCAUCCAUUAUUUACCAAAUUCUAGGAAUUAAGAAACUACACAUAGAACUAGAGGACAACCAACUGCAAGAGUGCUGUGACUUCACCGUGACCUCCUGAGCAUGAGACAUGAGGCUCUUAACUAAUCUCUCAGCUGUAAAAGGGGGAUUUUAACACUAUCUACUCACAGAGGGGUACUGUUAUGAUAACUAAACGAGAUAAUGCACAUCAAGCAUGUAACCCUACCUGAAAUAUAAAAAGCACUUCAUUAAUGGCAGUCAUUAUUUUACCAGAUUUUGAUAUGAUGGGACAUACUGAACUGUCCUUUAAUAGAACCACAGACUUGAUUAAAUAAACUAUCAAUCAGUA